rnacentral:misc_RNA from 1 species
GAGAGAGAGAGGAGAGCAAGAAUGUCAAUUGUUGUGUUUGAGUUUUCAUUUCCACAGCCAAGCCACAAUCCUGAAGUAAUUAAGGUCCAGUAAAUUCAUUUUUUCUCUCCAUUCCACUAUAUUUAAGGCCAAACUUUCAGUCUCCAAUGAAGUAAAACAUUAAGUAUAUUUGCAACACUUCUGCAAUCUGCCUAAAAGAGGUUAUUGCAUUUAGGGAGCACUUUGCUUGAAGAUGGAAAUGAUUGAAUGUCAUCCAUGGGACACAAUACAGUGGUUCAAAGUCACAAUUUGACGGGCUAUAAUUGUAUAACACCAGAUAAUCACUUUCAUUGUUGAUAAAUAAUACGGUAAACCAUUAACUUCAAGCAAUGACAUCCAUUCAUAUUGAAUUGGUUGAACUUAGGAAGCCAACAACAAUGUAGUUAAGGCAUAAGGGGCAAUCAAAGUGAUGCAUCACUCAUCGCUUAAAAUGCAAAGCACAGAAAAAGUGUUCCCUUCAUUGAAGGAAGUGCAAAGUUAUUAAAAAAUUAACUAACAAUAUAAUAUGCAAAGAAAAUACAAUCCUCUAUAUAAAUUUAAACCCUUAAAAAAUCAUCAAACAUGCAAAAGUUUUUAGCAUUCAAAUUCAUAUUCAUAACCUAAAAAUCUUAACUAGAUUUCCUAUCAAAGUCCAAACACUUUCAUCCUCAUCUCCAAAAUAAGAUCAAUUUCUAUCAAAAUCUUCAUCUAAAUAAGUCUCAACAUCUUCCAACGUUGGUCUUGCAAUUAAGUGCAAAAU